rnacentral:rRNA from 1 species
UACGGGGGGGGCAAGCGUUGUUCGGAAUUACUGGGCGUAAAGGGCUCGUAGGCGGCCAACUAAGUCGGACGUGAAAUCCCCAGGCUCAACCUGGGAACUGCGUCCGAUACUGGAUGGCUUGAAUUCGGGAGAGGGAUGCAGAAUUCCAGGUGUAGCGGUGAAAUGCUUAGAUAUGACAUAGAACACCAAUUGCGAAGGCAGCUUACUACACAGUUAUUGACACUGAGGCACGAAAGCGUGGGGAUCAAACAGG